UGUAUUGCUUGUUAAAUUCGGCCUCCCAAUUUUGAAGUUACAUUUACGUUUUGAUAUUAAUCUUUCUUUUUUGCACAGUAAUUUGAAUUCCUCCAUUAUAGUUUAGAUUAUAUAUAUCUAUUAGAUUUUCAUGAGAGGUAUUAGCAAACUUCUUUUGCCGCAAAUCGCAGAGCACAUGAACUUUGUUAUGAUGGGAAUGUUUCCAUUAUUUUCAUAUUUCUACAUCUCCAAAAUCAUUGAAUCUGCCCAUAUGCAUUCAGAAAAUGCUUUUGACCAGCCAAUGGACUGGAAUUCCCAUAUGUUUAUUUUAGUUAACAAGUUCAUUUGAAAUCAAAUCAACAAUUAGCAAUCCUUUUGUAGCCAUUGAAGUUGUAAGCAUGUGAAAACAGAAUCAAAAUCUUUGUGUACUAAACUAAUUGAUUGCCAAUUUUGUAGAUGUCUCACCUGAUUAGAACCCGGAGGCCGAUGACUUCUACACCUAGUCCGACGGCUACACCUAGUCCGACGACUAUACUUACUAUUGCCGCCACUGCUCCAGCAGAGAUGGACCAUAAGCCAGUCAAUCCAGUUCACUCAGAUGGUCCUUCAGUCCCACAGGCGCAGGCAUCAUCGACUUCUUCGGUGACAUUACCUAUUAGCGCCAGACGAACUCACCGACGCCCCCGCACUGUGGACCAGAUGUCGCCAUCGGGAUCCACAACUGAUGCCUCCAAUAUACGAUCAGCGAAGAAAAACACUCGAGGACCUUGUCGGCAAUUGAAGACGGGGAAGGUCACUCGGGUGACCAACGGUCGUAUCCCAAUCGGAUAUGAUGAGUGACAUCGGGCAGCACCAACGAUGGAGCAGCAUAGUGCAUUGGCCCACGACAUUGGGCAUGUCGUGCGGACCUUUUGCCCUAUGCUGUGGAAGUCUUGGAAGGCGAUGCCGGAUGAGACGAAGAUUACGCUGCGCAAUCAAUUGUCCAUAAGCUACAAUUUGGAGCACAUGGACGAGGACAAGUUCGCAUAUGUCAAUCAGCUCUUCUCCGAAUGCUACAAGCAGUGGAAGAGUGACAUGCACCAAUGCUUCCAGGAGUUUGAUGAUCUGCAGGUCGCUCUUGAUGAGGGAUGUCCGAAGGAGUUGGAGGACCGACAAGAUAGUUGGGUUUGACUUUGCGGUCAUUUUAGUGACCUAACAUGUGAAGGCGAAGGCGAACAAGAUCAAUCGAGAGAAGAGGACUCUUCUCCACCAUUCGGGUUCGAGGCCUUUCUCCUACAGGAUGGAGGGGCGACGGAAGGAGGGUUCAAAAUUUUCGAAGAUCGAUGUUUUUGCUGACGUUUAUGUUCGGCCUGGGAAUGAGUUGACCUAGUCCCUUCAUGCAACAAUGGUGGAGAAGCGACAAGUGGUGUUUCAGGAGUCCGCCUCCCACCUUCCCCCGGACACGCUGAUCGAGUUUGUGGAUCCCCCUGAGGAUGCAGGGUUUCACAUCGUCACUAAGACGUUGGACUAGAAUUUCGGUCGGAGGCCAGGGACAUAUUGUCGGGGGAUAGGAAAUGCCAGGCGUCGGGAGACUGGAGCCUCGUCAUCCUCGCAGUCAAAGACCAAGGUUACGGUUUUGAUGCAGGAAGUCGCCGGGCUGAGGAGUGAGCUGGCAUCGUACAAGUCUCAAAUGUCAAUGCUUAUACAAGCCAUCAAUUCCUCUGGAAUACAUCUCCCCGGUUUUUCUACACCAUCGCCCUCACAUCCCUUCCACACCGAGCAAGCAUAGCAAUCAGGCCCGUCGACCUCCGACCCUAUCCUCAACCAGCAACAAGAUUACCAAGCACUUCCGAAUGACAUGCCUAUAGAUUUUGCGUCUUUAUUUUCGUAGUUUUGUUCCUUUUUUUUUAACUUUACAUUUGUACGUACAUUUUAUGAAAUCUUUUUUUUUCCUUUUAUUCUUUUUUUUUAAUUAAAAAUUACACGUGCGCGACGACGAAAUGUCGUUGCGCAACAAGUUUUGAGACAAA